CCGCCAGAGCCCGCGAAGAUGGAUAGAACGACGGCGGCGAUGGUGAACUUGACGGCAGCCGCCAUUUAUUCGGUAAGUGCGCGUGUGUGCUGGGUUCAGAAUUCAGAUAGGCAGCGGGCGAGAUCAUUUUAUACAGCGGGUGUUGGGCGUUUAAGUGCUUGGAAUUAAGGCGAAGCCGGCCGGCCGGGCGACGUGCGCGCACAUGGAUGCAAUGCCUGAUUGAUGCUCUGCUCCGGAGAGCUCGAUUGGGGCAUCGAUCAGUCGUUGUUAGGACUCAUUGUUGGGUGAUAACAAUGCUUCUGCGUCUGCGUUAUUUCGGGAACAGAUAAAAGCAACACCAGCACACUUGUUCUUUCUAAUUUGAGCUAGAGGGGCCACUAGAUUACUAGUUUUGCCGGGACUGGAGCUGCCUAAUUGAACACACGUCGGUCUUGGCAGGACGGACAAUUUGUGCCGUUUAGGAAGUCAUCAUAGUGAUAUCGGCCUGCCAUGUGGAUGAUGCAUGUGUAUCUCUAACAAGCAUUCAUAAAGGCCUUGCUCAGAAGUCAGAAUCUAAAGUUGAGCACACCGAACAGAACGGAGAUGCAAAGUAGUAUUCUGAAAUACAUCCCAGGAGGUGGAGAAAAUCAAGUGAGGGGCAAAAAUCCUCAAAAUGUAACCAAACCAACGCAGUCUUACAGGACACCACCAGGAUAAGAUCGACGUUCAUCAGAUUCAGAAUCACAGGUUCAGCGCUUUCUUCUAAUCAUUUGGAUGCAUGUUCAAGGAAUAGAAUCACAAAUUCUCACAAUACAGUAGGUAGGUCAGCAGGC
rnacentral:lncRNA from 1 species